UACAGAGGUUCCGAGCGUUGUUCGGAUUCACUGGGCGUAAAGGGUGCGCAGGUGGUUGUGCAAGUUCGAUGUGAAAGCCCCGGGCUUAACCCGGGAAUGGCAUUGAAAACUGCUUGACUUGAGGCUGGGAGGGGCUGGUGGAAUUCCCUGUGUAGCGGUGAAAUGCGUAGAGAUGGGGGAGAACACUCGUGGCGAAGGCGGCCAGCUAGACAAGUUCUGACACUGAGGCGCGACAGCGUGGGGAGCAAACAGG
rnacentral:rRNA from 1 species